GGGACCUGGACGGCCUGGGUCUGUAGCCGUGGGCCCUCCACCCAGGCUCCGCAAGCCCAUCCUACAUCUCCCCGGGCAGGUGUGUUUGCAGGAACAGUCUGGGCACCAUCGUCGUUUCUGACCCCAGGAUCCUUGCGUAGCUUGAAUAACCACCUCUUCAGCCCGCCUCGCUAAGGUUACUGCAUAAUCCCUGCAUUCCUGUCAAGAAGGAUUAGCCAUCUUCUCAGGUGGGAGGAUUCCAGACUCACUGGGCUACUAUCUAGAUCUGCAGUCUCAAAAGCAAUUUUUGAAUCUACUUCCAGAUGUCUUCGAGAAUUCUUUCCUGGCUGUUGGCUCCGGACCACCCCACCAUCACCCAACAACCCCAUCAUUUUGUGACUUUAACAUGGGCUUCGAGUCUUUUCAUCUGGGCUCUGAGCUGGUGCAAACCCGACUCCAUCACUGCAGGAACUUCAAGCCAACAGACGAUCCUUUCUACUCAAGAAGGUUCAUCCACGUUGUCCGCCUUGGAUUCAGCUGCCUCCACCUUAACUCCCCUGUAUGUUCCCUGACCAAUAUUGACCCAUAAAGUAGUCUCCGUGCUCAACGUGUGGCUCGAAAUCACGACCCUGAGAUCAAGAGUCACAUGCUCCACCGACUGAGCCAACCAGGUCAGGCAAACAUUUCUAAGCAGAGAGAGAGCACGCAGACAAUGGGGAGAGACAGAGAAACGUAAGCAGGCUCCACACUCAGCGCAGAGCUCAACGUGGGGAUCAAUCCCAUGUCUCUGGGAUCACGACCUGAGCCAAAAUCAUGAGUCGGACCCUCAACCGACUGAGCCACCUGGGCACCCCUUGAGAGACUACUUUGGAAGCCAGAUCAUGGACGACCAAGUUCACUGCCUCAACUGCCCCAAACCAAAGUGCCCUUUGUGGCCACCUGUAGUCAGGGGAAAGGACUAGUGCCAGAGGAAUCAUUUGCGUAUUAUGACCACGUUCUCCUCCAGUCCUCCUGGGACCUGAUGGGGGUGUGCUGACCUUGGCUCCCAUUCAUGCUGCCAGCUGUGAUGGCUCCACCAUGGGCAUGUGUGCCCGCCACGGUUAUGCCUUCUGUAUUCUGUGCCAACCGACCCCCCCUUAGAGCCCCUCCACAGGAGAUGACCGUAGGAUGUUGGGAUGUGUGAACUUGACAAACUAGAAAAAAAAAGCCUCUUCAUUUUAAUGGCCAAAAGAGAACUUUAGACUUAGAGUCUACGACACCAAGCAGGCUCCACACUGUCAAUGCAGAGUCCGACUCAGGGCUUGAACCCAUGAAAUGUGAGAUCAUGACCUGAGCCAAAAUCAAGAGUCGAACACUUAACCAACUGAGCCACCUAACCACCCCUCCCUCUGGAAAUGUGGUGGGUAUAAGAUGUCACGUACUAGCUAUAUGUAGUAUUUCUGCUGGAUUUGGUUGCGUUCUCUGUCAAGAACAAAACCCUUAGAAGCAUUUUAGUGAUCCUGCCUCUGCCUGUUUUAACCAGUUUUGUAUACAAACUUCCCCAGGCACAAGAGUAACUUUGUUGGGGCGUAUAAUUUGCAGAAUGUAAAUCUGGUGCUUAACUAAGUACUCAAAUUCAUUUAGAAAUCCCCUUAAAUGUAUUACAAGUAUUAGUGACAUUUUAUAUAAUUUUCUUGAAAAUGAGUUUUAUGAUGGCGACAUAUAUCAUGUCUGGAAAUACUUAUUUUUAUAUCCUUUCCUUGCCCGAUUUAUUUUUAUUGUCAAAUUAUCACAAAUGCUCAGGAAAAUUGAAGGAAUACUAGGAUAAUGAACCUGGCACAUCUUUUACCUAUAUACUAAAAAAAAAUUUUUAAUGUUUAUUUAUUUUUGAGAGAGACAGAAAUGCAAGUGGGUUAGGGGCAGAGAGAGGGGGAGACACAGAACCUGAAGCAGGC